CAGUCGCCACGGUAAAACAGAGGGUGCGAGCGUUAAUCGGAUUUACUGGGCGUAAAGCGUGCGUAGGCGGCUUUUUAAGUCGGAUGUGAAAUCCCUGAGCUUAACUUAGGAAUUGCAUUCGAUACUGGGAAGCUAGAGUAUGGGAGAGGAUGGUAGAAUUCCAGGUGUAGCGGUGAAAUGCGUAGAGAUCUGGAGGAAUACCGAUGGCGAAGGCAGCCAUCUGGCCUAAUACUGACGCUGAGGUACGAAAGCAUGGGGAGCAAACAGGAUUAGAGACCCCUGUAGUCCCUGUCUCUUAUAC
rnacentral:rRNA from 1 species